AAAAGUCGUAACAAGGUCUCCGUUGGUGAACCAGCGGAGGGAUCAUUACCGAGUUUACAACUCCCAAACCCAAUGUGAACGUUACCAAACUGUUGCCUCGGCGGGGUCACGCCCCGGGUGCGUCGCAGCCCCGGAACCAGGCGCCCGCCGGAGGAACCAACCAAACUCUUUCUGUAGUCCCCUCGCGGACGUAUUUCUUACAGCUCUGAGCAAAAAUUCAAAAUGAAUCAAAACUUUCAACAACGGAUCUCUUGGUUCUGGCAUCGAUGAAGAACGCAGCGAAAUGCGAUAAGUAAUGUGAAUUGCAGAAUUCAGUGAAUCAUCGAAUCUUUGAACGCACAUUGCGCCCGCCAGUAUUCUGGCGGGCAUGCCUGUCCGAGCGUCAUUUCAACCCUCGAACCCCUCCGGGGGAUCGGCGUUGGGGAUCGGGACCCCUCACACGGGUGCCGGCCCCUAAAUACAGUGGCGGUCUCGCCGCAGCCUCUCCUGCGCAGUAGUUUGCACAACUCGCACCGGGAGCGCGGCGCGUCCACGUCCGUAAAACACCCAACUUUCUGAAAUGUUGACCUCGGAUCAGGUAGGAAUACCCGCUGAACUUAAGCAUAUCAAUAA
rnacentral:rRNA from 1 species